rnacentral:rRNA from 1 species
AACGAACGCUGGCGGCAUGCCUAACACAUGCAAGUCGAACGAGACCUUCGGGUCUAGUGGCGCACGGGUGCGUAACGCGUGGGAACCUGCCCUUAGGUUCGGAAUAACUCCCCGAAAGGGGUGCUAAUACCGGAUAAUGUCUUCGGACCAAAGAUUUAUCGCCUUUGGAUGGGCCCGCGUUGGAUUAGCUAGUUGGUAGGGUAAAAGCCUACCAAGGCGACGAUCCAUAGCUGGUCUGAGAGGAUGAUCAGCCACACUGGGACUGAGACACGGCCCAGACUCCUACGGGAGGCAGCAGUGGGGAAUAUUGGACAAUGGGCGAAAGCCUGAUCCAGCAAUGCCGCGUGAGUGAUGAAGGCCUUAGGGUUGUAAAGCUCUUUUACCCGGGAUGAUAAUGACAGUACCGGGAGAAUAAGUUCCGGCUAACUCCGUG